UAUUAUAAUGUUUAUAUCUAUGACGUAUACAACCUGUUUAUCCAGAAACCUAACCUUAUUUUAUACAUAUAUAUGCUGGAACUGAAGUAUUAGUCUAUGGAAGGUUCGCUCUGUAUGACUACCAAAAUAUAUAUGCGCGUCAGUUAACCGUCAGUGCGCAUGAGGUCGCGUUUAUACACGUAGUUUGAAAUUCCGGCAGCGUCAGUCGCCACUGCAUCAUGUACGCUUUUAUAAUUAAACUCUGUUUAGUUACGCCUAGAUGGCGCUGUAGCGACCACUCAUAUGUGUUUAGAGAUUAGGAUGAUUGCAUCUCUUCUUCUACGCUCCCUAAUAGGAGAUAAGGUAGGCAAGGACGAACAGACAAGGUACAAGGAAUAAAGAUAAUACUGAGUGCUGAUUGUGACUGAAUAAUAUUAAACUAUGUACAAGAUGACUAGGUCUGUUCGCACCGGCGGCCAGGCCGUGACUGAUUCACGAAAGUGACUAAGCUUCCAUGUUCCCCUCGCGCUCGCCACGCCGUGGUGCUCUACUAGGCGGCGCGUCGGUCUGGCACAGACUGCUGGCAGAAUAUAAUAAUGGAAGAUAAUAAUGAUACCUCAACUGAUGAUACAGAAACUGUAUCAUCCAAAGAUGUCGAACCGCUAUCGAGGAGAAGCAAAAGUUCUCUCAGUUCGCAGUUACAAGUAUUGAAAAUAGAGAAUCGAAAACUUGAAAAAACUAUUGCCACUAUGUACAAAGAGAUGGGUACAGCUAAAUUGGAAUCCUACGCACUACUGAAGGAUAUGAAAGAAACACGACAAAUUUUAAAAGAGAUGAACCUUACUUGCAGAAAAUGUAAUGAGAUGGAUAUCAAGAAAAAAACAAUGAGAAGCUAUUUAAAAGCUUAGAAGACAUCGUAAACAUUAGCUUUAUUUCUCCAUUUGAGAUAUACUCACCAAGGAGACAAGUACCCCAAGAAAAGCUCCCAAGGUUACAUCCGAACCAUUACCUCAAAUACAAUCAAGUUUUGAGUAAGAUUUGGAUGAGCCAUUUACUAAAGAAGUUAGUCUACUUUUGCCAGAGAUUACCGUCAUUGAAUCAAGGAAUGCGGACUCACCUACAGAUGAUGAGGCAGAGAUGGAAGCUGAUCACAGUAGUCAGAGCGUUAAGGUUGAGGUAAAAGCUGUGCGGGAAUGCAUGUUGUCUGUACAGUCAUAAUUUUCACUUUUAACAGAGAUGUAGUAAAUGAAAAUUUCUUUCCUGAUCGCUAAACAAUAUUUAAGUACGUGAAAUACUAUUAGAUAGCAACUCGGCUGCUCAAUAUCCGACAAAAAGGACCUGCUUCAAAAAAGAUGUAUCUGCCGCAUCCCAGAAACCAUCAGUGCCUCAGGACCCAUCUAUCACGUGCUUAAGUGUGUUAAAAUUUAUAUUUAUUACUGUUUUUUAACAUAAGAAACCAGCAGAAGUCGUCUCCGACACCGCCCCUAAAGUCGAUAUUGAACACGGCGUUCAGCUUUCAGCAGCAAUCGUUGACAAAUUGUGAAAUAAAGAUCUGCGAAACUUACUAUUGGACUUAUGUAACGCACUUUUUAGAAAAGAGGAUUUUGCAAUAUCUUUGAUGAGCAGCAAAAAAGGCCGCUUGUCGUAUAGUGCAAAACCAGCAAUAUCAAGCUAUGCUGCUAAAAGUCUGCCGUCGGAGACCAAAGAAAAUAUUGAAAAGACUCUCAAGACAAUUUUGUGUGACAAAUGUAAAAACGCAGCCAAGGAGAUAAAAAAAAGGAAUGUAAUGAUAUGAAUAUAAUUUAUAUAGAAUUAGUUCAUUAAUA